GUCACGCGUCGGUCAUCGCCAACACCGGCCAGCAGAUGUCUACCACCCUUGUUCCAUCAGAUUCACCACCAGUCAGAGUCAAAACUCUGUUCAUAUAUCUUCAUCUUUGUUCCUCAUCUCAUGGUUCUCCAUCUUCAACUUGACACAGACAGUACCAAAGCGGAGCUGCCCUUAUUUCAUUUUCAUAUAUCUUGCUCUUAAGAAUUUGGGGUGGAAUCAUCAAGAUGAUUUGUGAACUUGAACAAGUCGUUGAUUACGGUCUUAGAAAUUAUGAUUUCUUGGCCUUUUACAAAACUCCUUAAGGCAAAAAAUCCAUCUAUUGUGAUAAAGACAAGUUGCAAAGGACUAUCUUCACCAAAGUUGGGUAAGUGAUAGAGCAAGGGUCUAAUAAUUUAUCGGGUGAGGAUUCAAUGAAAGAAGAAACAAUGUCAAAAUGCUUAAAAACAAAGAACGUAUAAUCCAGUAAAUCAACAAAAGAAAGAGAGCCAUGCUCAAAGAUAUCGAUCCACUUACCAAAAGUUGUGUGGUUUUCAAACCAAGUUUUGGGUACCUCGAGGGCAGCAAGUGGAGAGGGUAUGGAAGGUGCUGGACUUUCAAGGCUAGAAGACCUUGCAGACGAUUCAUCCUUCUCCUUUUUCUUUGAUGAACAAAUGAGUUUUCUUUUAGGAGCCAUUGUUGUAUGCUUGAAGAAAUUUAGAAAACGGAAUUUAGUUCUUAAGAGAAAGGGACAAGAAAUGUUUCUGAAAUGGGCAAGUGGAAAGGACGGUGCAAAUGGGGGUUAAUAAAGAGAUUGUACUACUUGAUGUGAAGGCAAUAAAUAGGGGUUCAUAACUGUAUAAUGCUUUGUUUAGUUGAAAUACAUGAUUAGAUGGAUUAAUGUUUUUAAACCAUGUGGUUGUUUAAAAUAGACUUCUUGUAAAUAGCAAUUUAAAAAUGCACAUUUAAUAUCCAUUUGAUAUAGUUUAAUAUUCAUGUAAGAAGCAAAAGAAAGAAUAAUUCGAAUAGACUCUAAUCUAGCAACAUGCGCAAAAGUUUCAUCGUAA